rnacentral:rRNA from 1 species
AUUGUUCAACGGCCGCGGUAUCCUAACCGUGCGAAGGUAGCGUAAUCACUUGUCCUUUAAAUGAGGACUAGUAUGAACGGCUUCACGAAAACUAUACUGUCUCCUUUAUCCAAUCAGUUAAACUAAUCCCCCCGUGAAGAAGCGGGGAUAUCCAUAUAAGACGAGAAGACCCUAUGGAGCUUUAAAUAUCUCUAGACAUUUGAAUAUACACGACCCUUAAAACCACUAAAUUCAUCAUUUUGUCUUAAAUUUUAGGUUGGGGCGACCACGGAGAAAAACCCAACCUCCACGUGGAAAGAAACUCCCUUCUAAGCAAAAAGCUACAUCUUUAUGCAUCAACACAUUGACCUUAAUUGACCCAAUUGCUUGAUCAACGAACCAAGUUACCCUAGGGAUAACAGCGCAAUCCGCUUUGAGAGCCCCUAUCGACAAGCGGGCUUACGACCUCGAUGUUGGAUCAGGGCAUCCCAGUGGUGCAGCAGCUACUAAAGGUUCGUUUGUUCAACGAUUAAAGCCCUACGUGAUCUGAGUUCAGAC